CUAUAGGCGUGUAUGCAGGAUUUAGUUGGUAUUAUGUGUGGGUCAAGCGCACACAGGAAAGAGCAUCAAGGUGAGUGGACUGAGUGGUGUGGACGUCUCACCUCUUGCACAGAAGCUUGUUGAAAGAGAGGAAUAAGAGGAUUAGUUCUCGGUAUGUCAAUGUGAAUCUGCAGGGAAGAGAACACACACACACACACACACAACAAAAAAAAGAGAGAGACACACAGGAGCAGAAGCAGGUUAGGACGGAUUCGAAACAGCCAUUACAGAUAGACAGGAAAGUGAAUCUGGUCAUGGAUGGUGACGCAUGCCUGGCUGCAAACUGAAGAACUGAAAACCUCUGGAGAUUUGAGACCGGGAAUGAACUCAUCCUCAGCUGUUUAACCCUCUGAAGUCAGAGUCAGUCGAGUUAUUGGAAAAUCCUCAAUCUGGGAACUGGUGUGUAUAGAAGCAUAUGUUGCAGGAUGCAGUGUAGCACAAGGGAUUUGGACCGCCGACUCUGGAGUGAUGUUUGAACAGGAAUGCUAUGUAGUAGGGAAUGAUGGAGAGAAGGUCAGAGAGGUGGUGUAACCGGUGGUGUUACCUGUCUGUAUGUGUCCUGGUGAUGCUCGUCGUUGCGGGAGUCGUAGUACUGCUCGAUGAAACCGAAGUACUCCUGCCUCUUUCUCUGCAGCGUGCUGGCUCUGCGCUCGGCAUUGGCAGGCAGGUAACCCUAAGAACAGCAACACACACACACACACACACACACACACGCACACACGCACACACGCACACACGCACACACGCACACACGCACACACGCACACACGCACACACACACAAACAGCCCAUUAUGGAAGGGUAGUUGAAACGUCUUCUCUUAUCAAUCCACUAUCAAACCACAUUAGCCCUCUGAAAUUUCUGCUGCCUGUGCAUUGCACCCAUGUGCAAGCGAGGUCGUCACCCUCGUUCACUCCAACUCUGCACUUUCCAGCACACACUGGUUUACUGGCUGUGCUGCUCAAAGACAUCGCCUUGGUGCUGGAUUCAGAUCCAGGUCGACAGGGAUUUUAUAGACUUAAUUGAAAGCACCAGUAAGCUGCACUGGACUAUUACAGCUGCACAGUCCAUAUAACAGACAUUAAAAAAACUAGAUUUCACUUUCCAAGUGUUAACAUACUGUUAACUAAAAAGUGGGCGGCUUUUAGCAGGACCGACGCACACGAACCGCCUCUGCUUCAUUAAGACUGACAGCCAUAUUGGCUAUGUGUUCACUGAGACAGACGUAACAGUCACACCACCUUCCUGAGAACUGACAGACAAGCAGUCAAGCAGGCCACACCGACACUGACCAACACAGAGGCCAUGUCUCUCCCACUGGAACUAACAGACACAAUGGCAAUGUGUACUUCACCUGAACUGACAGGUAAAAAGUCUGUUCUUCCUUUAAUAUGACUUACAGCUCAUUCUUGGGGACUGAGCAGGACAGAGAAAACACCUCCUUCCUGGGUGGAAACUGGAAAAGAGACCACAGCACCUUCUUGAGGAAUGACCAGGACAGAGACAACACAACACCUCCUAACUGGGGGUUGACCAGCACAGAGACCACACCUCUUCCCAGGGACUGCCAGGGUCAGAGACCCAGUACAGAGACCACUCAUCAUUUACCCAACACAGAGGUCACAGCUUCUUCCUGUGGACCAACCAGGAGAGACCAGGGGACACCCAUUUACUCAAUAUCUAUCUAGUGCACACUCACCUGAGAUAAAGGAAAUGCUGUGGAAAUAUUGAGACUGCCAAUUAGUCUUUGCACCAGAAAAAAAUACGGCUAUAGUUCAGUCAUUUCGGUAAGUAAGACAUGAAUAACUGAAUUCUUAGUGUUCCUAUGUUCAGUUCGCUGAUUAGCCAGUCACUAUCAGUCAACAGUAAAGAGGAAGAAAUCGGUGCCUUUCUUAUUCCACAGCGAGAGAGAGAAAGCGUGCAGCAGAUGUCUGUGCCCGAAAAAGAAAGUCUCUUGAUAAAGUAAUUGAUUGCAUGGAAAUCUAGAGCCGUGGAAAUCCAUUUAUCACAGGAGACACUAUCCCACACGGCCAUUUUUUACCCCCCACCACCCAGACAAGUUCUGCACAAAGAUGUAUGCGUGCCAAGCGGCAGUGUUCAUGCCAGGGCUUUGGGUCAUUAGCAUAUGUACAUGUAAUUAAGCCUAAUUGAUAAUGCAUAAUGUCGAGGAUUCAGAGAUUUCACCGGGCUCACAUAGGGAGGAAGAAUGAGCUGCUGAUCACCAGGAAGAUUAAAAGCUCUAAGUCAGAAGGGAGACUUUUAAGGUAAAUGGAGAGAAUAGAGACGGAUAUUAAUUGGCAUGUUUUAAAGAGAGAGAGUACAGGGAGCUAGAAUAAGAAAGAAUACUGCCAGGAAGGGACAAUCAUCUUGCGACCCUGAUUUAGAGCACUUCACUCUUAAAUAAAAAAAUAAGCAUUAAGGGAACUGUUAGAAGCUUCAGAAAGAAGAUCUUUAAUGUAUUGCACAGCUACAAUGAAAUAACUUUAUAUCUGUAAUCUGAAUUGAUUCGAUACAUAAACUGGUAAUAACAAGCAGUUCCACACGUUUUUAUACUCUUAUAUCUGCAUGAACGUUGCACAUGCUUUUUAUCUGUUUGCUAUUAAUUUGAAUUGGUUUCAAAUGACAUAAUUAAAGCGAUUAACAAACGAAAAAAAAAAAUGCUUAACGGCUGAAAAUGUACUCUUUCUUUCGUCGGGUUAAAGCGUGAAAAUGAAAAAAGUUGAAUAAACCUUUCCAUAGAUAAUUCCAUAAAUAACCAGUUUUAAAAAUUUUGUAUAUUCAGUCUUAGUUCUCUCUUCGGUCGUUGGCUCAGUAUUCAAAGAAGCGUUAUAUUUCCACGCUUCUGUCCUAUGGCUCAUAUCUACAAUAAAUAAAUAAAUAAACAAACAAACAAACAAACAAAAACGGACGAAACACUAUACACUAUGAAAGCACGCUGUGUGUCUUCUUUCUAUCCAUCUCCUUUGCUGUGGCUGACUAAUUAGAAAGCACACAGCCGACCAUAACCCGACCUCUCGUUUGUUCAAUCAGUGAUAUUGUGUAAAUUACAGUAAUAGCAUGUUUAGUCCUCUUGAG